rnacentral:rRNA from 1 species
UACGGGGGGGGCAAGCGUUGUUCGGAAUUACUGGGCGUAAAGGGCGCGUAGGCGGCCCGCUAAGUCGAACGUGAAAUCCCUGGGCUCAACCCAGGAACUGCGUCCGAUACUGGCAGGCUUGAAUCCGGGAGAGGGAUGCGGAAUUCCAGGUGUAGCGGUGAAAUGCGUAGAUAUCUGGAGGAACACCGGUGGCGAAGGCGGCAUCCUGGACCGGUAUUGACGCUGAGGCGCGAAAGCGUGGGUAGCGAACAGG